CAGUUUUCGGAUUUUGCCUUCAAAAUACAAGUCCACGAUUUUCGUGACCUGGAAGUGUUUCUUUAAUGUUGCUCACAAAACGCUGAUGCUUUCUUGGCAGUGAAACCAACUCCAAUUUUGGGAAGGACACAAAUGAGUAGGCCAGCCCUCAGCACCGUAUCCUGCCAUGGCACAUGAAACACCUCAUCAGGUCAUUGAGGACUCCAACAGCAGCCUGAGAGGCCCUCCCUGCGUCAGCCAAGGUGCCUCCCUCUGUGACCUGUCUUCUCCACUUCCCAGCUGUGCCUCGCCAUUGUUCAAAAGAGAGUCUGUUAAAUUAGGUGGUAUAUACUUUGUUGCAGGUGUGUUGGCAGCAUCUGUAUAGGCCAGAUAGUUGUGCAGUGCAGCACAGCCCUUCACAACAUGUAUACAUUUGUCUGGUAGGAAUUCCAACGGUCUGCCUAAAAUUCUCCACCUUGCGGCCAUCAUACCAAAUUAGUUCUCAAUGAUGUCUGGUCUGUGAAUGUUGAUAUUUGUAGAUCAUCUUGCUUUUGUCCAGAUUGGCACCCGGUAAAGCAGAAUAUACAUUGAAAUGUAAAAUAAAUAUCCAAUGACUAACUGCAUUUUGUUGUACUGUACUUGUACUUGUUCAAUGACAA